rnacentral:rRNA from 1 species
GAUGAACGCUGGCGGCGUGCCUAAUACAUGCAAGUCGAACGCUUUGUCUUUAAUUGAUAUGCAGAGCUUGCUCUGAUUUGAUUUUAUCUGACAAAGAGUGGCGAACGGGUGAGUAACACGUGGGUAACCUACCUCUUAGCAGGGGAUAACAUUUGGAAACAAGUGCUAAUACCGUAUAACACUAACAACCGCAUGGUUGUUAGUUGAAAGAUGGUUCUGCUAUCACUAAGAGAUGGACCCGCGGUGCAUUAGCUAGUUGGUAAGGUAAUGGCUUACCAAGGCGAUGAUGCGUAGCCGAGUUGAGAGACUGAUCGGCCACAAUGGGACUGAGACACGGCCCAUACUCCUACGGGAGGCAGCAGUAGGGAAUCUUCCACAAUGGGCGCAAGCCUGAUGGAGCAACGCCGCGUGUGUGAUGAAGGGUUUCGGCUCGUAAAACACUGUUAUAAGAGAAGAACGACAUUGAGAGUAACUGUUCAGUGUGUGACGGUAUCUUAUCAGAAAGGAACGGCUAAAUACGUG